rnacentral:misc_RNA from 1 species
GAUGAAGAACGCAGCGAAAUGCGAUAAGUAAUGUGAAUUGCUGAAUUCAGUGAAUCAUCGAAUCUUUGAACGCACAUUGCGCCCGCCAGUAUUCUGGCGGGCAUGCCUGUCUGAGCGUCAUUUCAACCCUCAUGCCCCUAGGGCGUGGUGUUGGGGAUCGGCCAAAGCCCGCGAGGGACGGCCGGCCCCUAAAUCUAGUGGCGGACCCGUCGUGGCCUCCUCUGCGAAGUAGUGAUAUUCCGCAUCGGAGAGCGAUGAGCCCCUGCCGUUAAACCCCCAACUUUCCAAGGUUGACCUCAGAUCAGGUAGGAAUACCCGCUGAACUUAAGCAUAUCAAUAAGCGGAGGA